rnacentral:sRNA from 1 species
GCUGGGUAUUGUGGUGCAUGCCUGUAAUCCUAGCAGCUCAGGAGGCUGAGGCAGGAGGAGUACAGAUUCAAAGCCAACCUAGCAACUUAGUGAGGCUGUAAGCAACCUCAUGAGACCCUGUCUCAA